rnacentral:rRNA from 1 species
GACGAACGCUGGCGGCGUGCUUAACACAUGCAAGUCGAACGGAAAGGCCCUGCUUUUGUGGGGUGCUCGAGUGGCGAACGGGUGAGUAACACGUGAGUAACCUGCCCUUGACUUUGGGAUAACUUCAGGAAACUGGGGCUAAUACCGGAUAGGAGCUCCUGCUGCAUGGUGGUGGUUGGAAAGUUUGGGCGGUUGGAGAUGGACUCGCGGCUUAUCCGCUUGUUGGUGGGGUAGUGGCUUACCAAGGCUUUGACGGGUAGCCGGCCUGAGAGGGUGACCGGCGACAUUGGGACUGAGAGACGGCCCAGACUCCUACGGGAGGCAGCAGUGGGGAAUAUUGCACAACGGGCGGAAGCCUGAGGCAGCAACGCUGCGUGCGGGAUGACGGGCUUCGGGUUGUAAACCGCUUUCGCCGGUGACGAAGCGUGAGUGACGGUAAUGGGUAAAGAAGCACCGGCUAACUACGUG